rnacentral:tRNA from 2 species
GGACGUAUAGCUCAGAGGGAGAGCGCUACGCUUACAUUGUAGAGGUAGCAGGUUCAACUCCUGCCGAGUCCA